UUAUCCCUGACGCAGAUCCUUUAAACCAGCCCCAAACCCUUUAUCCUGACCCUGAUCCUUGAUCCCAGCCCCAAACCCUUUAAUGCUGACCCAGAUCCUUUAUCCUUGACCCAGAUCCUUUAAACCAGCCCCAAACCCUUUACUCUGACCCAGACCCUCGAUCCCUGACCCAGAUGCUUUAACUCAGCCCCAAACCCUUUACCCUGACCCAGCUCCUUGAUCCCAGCCCCAAACCCUUUAAUGCUGACCCAAACCCUUUACCCUGACCCAGAUCCUUUAACCCAGCCUCAAGCCCUUUACCCUGACCCUGAUCCUUGAUCCCAGCCCCAAACCCUUUACCCUGACCCUGAUCCUUUAUCCCUGACCCAGAUCUUUGAUCCCAGCCCCAAACCCUUUACCCUGACCCUGAUCCUUUAUCCCUGACCCAGAUCUUUGAUCCCAGCCCCAAACCCUUUACCCUGACCCUGAUCCUUUAUCCCUGACCCAGAUCUUUGAUCCCAGCCCCAAACCCUUUACCCUGACCCUGAUCCUUUAUCCCUGACCCAGAUCUUUGAUCCCAGCCCCAAACCCUUUACCCUGACCCUGAUCCUUUAUCCCUGACCCAGAUCUUUGAUCCCAGCCCCAAACCCUUUACCCUGACCCUGAUCCUUUAUCCCUGACCCAGAUCUUUGAUCCCAGCCCCAAACCCUUUACCCUGACCCUGAUCCUUUAUCCCUGACCCAGAUCUUUGAUCCCAGCCCCAAGGUGCACAAGAUCAACAACGUCAACAAAGCCCUGGACUUCAUCGCCAGCAAGGGCGUCAAGCUCGUCUCCAUCGGUGCUGAGGAGACCUCGGCCAAGGAGGGGCUCCUGCUCUGGUGCCAGCGGAAAACGGCUCCCUACAAGAACGUCAACGUCCAGAACUUCCACAUCAGGUCCUUCCCCUUCCCCUUCCUCUUCCCCUUCCCCAAAUUCCCCAGGGCAGGCUGGGACAGAAUUCUCAAACUCCCCAUCAGUUCCCAGGAUCUAAUCCCCGUUUUCCCUGUGAAUUCCUGGGCUCUGAUCCCUGAUUUUUCCCCGUGCAUUUCCAGAUUCUCAUCCCAGUUUCCCCUGUGGAUUCUCUGACUCUGAUCCCUGAUUUUCCCCUGUGCAUUCCCUGACUCUGCUCCCCAUUUUCCCUGUGCACUCCUGGGAUUCUGAUCCCUGUUUUCCCUGUGGAUUCUCUGACUCUGAUUCCUCAUUUUCCCCUGUGCAUUCCCUGGCUCUGAUCCCCGUUUUCCCUGUACACUCCUGGGAUUCUGAUCCCCGUUUUCCCUGUGGAUUCCCUGACUCUGAUCCCCGUUUUCCCCUGCACUCCUGGGAUUCUGAUCCCCGUUUUCCCUGUGCAUUCCCUGUCUCUCAUCCCUGUUUUCCCCUGUGCAUUCCCUGACUCUGAUCCCCAUUUUCCCCUGGGCACUCCUGG
rnacentral:lncRNA from 12 species